rnacentral:rRNA from 1 species
GACGAACGCUGGCGGCAAGCUUAACACAUGCAAGUCGAACGCCGUAGCAAUACGGAGUGGCAGACGGGUGAGCAACGCGUGGGAACGUGCCUUUCGGUUCGGAACAACUGAGGGAAACUUCAGCUAAAACCGGAUACGCGCUUCGGGGGAAAGUUUACGCCGAAAGAUCGGCCCGCGUUAGAUUAGCUAGUUGGUGGGGUAAUGGCCUACCAAGGCGACGAUCUAUAGCUGUUCUGAGAGGAAGAUCAGCCACACUGGGACUGAGACACGGCCCAGACUCCUACGGGAGGCAGCUGUGGGGAAUAUUGGACAAUGGGCGCAAGCCUGAUCCAGCUAUGCCGCGUGGAUGAAGAAGGCCUCAGGGUUGUAAAGUCCUUUCGUUGGUGAAGAUAAUGACGGUAACCAAAGAAGAAGCCCCGGCUAAUUUCGUGCCAGCCGCCGCAGUAAUAC